GCCCUUAUAGCUCAACUGGCAGAGCAGUGGCCUCUUAAGCCAUUGGUUUCAGGUUCGAAUCCUGAUAGGGGCA
rnacentral:tRNA from 1 species